rnacentral:lncRNA from 1 species
AUGCCCAAGAGGCAGGUUAGCUCCGCCAUAGGGGCCGCCAAGGAAGAGCCCACGAGGAGAUCGCACGGUUGUCAGCUAAACCUGCUCCUGCAAAAUGGAAAUGAAGCCGAAAAAGGCAGCAACGAAGGAUACAUCUUCAGACAAAAAAGUGUGAACAGAAGGGCAAAGGGGAGCAAAGGGAAAACGGGCAGAAGUGGCUAACCAAGAAACUAAAGAUUUAUCUGCAGAAAAUGGGGAAAGGAAAACUGAGGAGGCC